CCACUUGGCGAAGAUGAACUGAUCUCAUACAUCCUGGCCGGCCUCGACUUGGAAUACAACCCCCUAGUAUCUUCUCUUGAUGCUCGUACUGAACCACUUACACUAGAUGCACUGUACUCCCAGAUGGCGAACUUUGAUC
rfam:Triticum urartu cultivar G1812 contig814911, whole genome shotgun sequence.